rnacentral:rRNA from 1 species
UACGUAGGGGGCUAGCGUUGUUCGGAAUUACUGGGCGUAAAGCGCGCGCAGGCGGCCAUUUAAGUCAGGGGUGAAAGCCCAGAGCUCAACUCUGGAACUGCCCUUGAAACUGUAUGGCUUGAGUAUGAGAGAGGUGAGUGGAAUUCCCAGUGUAGAGGUGAAAUUCGUAGAUAUUGGGAAGAACACCGGUGGCGAAGGCGGCUCACUGGCUCAUUACUGACGCUCAGGCGCGACAGCGUGGGGAUCAAACAGG